ACACCUGGGGAGGAGAGCGCAUCACCUGCAGGUGAGGAAGGGGCCCGCCUCUCAGGCGCAGCGCACACCCCACCUCGCCCUCGCCAGGGCGGUGUCCGCAGCGACGCUCCGGGGACCGAGGGGACACGCUCGGCGGGUUCGGGGGCGCGGGCAGGGGCGACGGCCGCAGCGCGGUACCUUUGCCGGAAGAGCGGGCAGCCGCCGAGGAGUCUGCGCAGCUCGUUCUUGAGGCUCCAGAAGUCGCCGUCCAGGUAGCGGUGCAGGGAGGAGUCCCCGAGCCCCAGAUCCGGCGCCGGCGCCGGUUCCAUCGCGCUCACCUGCCUCUGCUUUUCCGCGUGGCUGGCAGGGCCGGCUUCGCUCCGCGCCUCCUCCAGCUCCCAGCAGGAAAUGUUAGCCGUUCCCUUCCAGAGGCUACUUUGCUGGGGAGAUGAUGGUGUGGUCUGCUGUCAUGAGGUUUUGCGGAUUCCCAGUAAGCCAUCUUACUCCCGGGCCUUGUCCAUCUGAGCGACCCCCAUCUGAAGCAUCACUGGUCUCUGCGUCAGAGGAUGAGAGCACGGUUUGGAUCACCCACGGACUUGUAAAUGUACACCCAGAAGUGUCAAGCGUAAUCUAGCCUAUCCUGGAAGAUACCUCAAGAAUCUGUUUACAAGCCACACCUCUCUCUAAGAGCCAGAGAAGUGUAACCCUCCCAGGCGCCCCCACCAGCCAACACUAAAGACUACCACACUCCUGUGAAUCUUUUGUUACUAGGAAGGAAUAGCUGACAAAAGACCCAGUAAAACUGCCCUUGGGCCAUCUUGGCUUAACUAGGUCCCUUGACCACUAUGUUAUUUUCCUACAGUAACAAAUUACCAUAAACUUGGUUAGGUAAACGGCAGAAAUUUAAUUAUCUCACAGAUUUGGAGGCUAGAAAUCUGAAAUGUUCAGCAGCGCCUUGUUACCUUUGAAGGCUCUAGGGGAGAAUCCUUCCUUGCCUUUUUCUAGAUUCUACUGGCUCCCAGCAAUCCUUGGUAUUGCUUGGCUUAUAGCAGCAUCAUUUCACACUCUGCCCCAUCAUCACAUGACCUGCUUUUCUGUGGGUCUCUAUGUCUUCAAAUCUCCCUCCUCUUGAAGGACAUUGGUUGUAGAAUUUAGUGCCCUCCCUAAUCCAACAUGACUCAUCUCAACUUGAUUACAUCUGCAAAACCCCUAUUUUCAAAGAAGGUCACUUUCUGAUAUGAACGUUUAGGGAACACUAUUCAACCCAGUAUACCCACCCAGAACUAAUGGGAACUGACAAAUGAGAAAGAAAUAAAAGGAAGUGACCAUAUACUGGUUUAUAUCAAUGGUUUCCACACUAAGUGUGUAUCAGAGUAACCAUGAACACAGACACACAAAUAACACACGACUUGGCCAAUCGAUCCAAUUUCUAGAGGUAGGCAUCUGUAGUUUUUAAAAGCUCCUCUCCACCCCAGGUGACUCUGCUAUUGUGCAGCCAGGGCUCAGCCCAUGGGCUUAGGCUCAAUGGUUCUUGAUCUUGCUAUGCAGGGGAUUACUACAUUAUUGGGAAAAUUGGUGAAAUUUAAGCAACAUGGAUAAUAUAAUACUGUAUCAAUGUUGACUUUAUGGUUUUGAUUAUUGUACUGUGGAUAUUUAAAUGAACGUUUUUGUCAUCAUGAGCAAAUUCAAGUAGUUAGGGGUAAAGGGGCAACUGACUCCAAAUGAGUCUGAAAAAUAUACACAGAGAGAGAGAGAGAGAGAAUAAAAUGUGGCUCCCUGGACUAUCUGUGUUACGUAGGACUUUCUCUUACAAGUACAGUCACACACCACAUAACAAUGUUUUGGUCAACAACAGACUGCAUAUAUGACAUUGGUCCUGUAAGAUUAUAAUGGAGCUGAAAAAUUCCUAUCACCGCGUGACAUCAUUGGUGUCAUAAAGUCAUAGCCCAACAUAUUACUCACUUGUUUCUGGCGAUCUGGUCAACAAACUACUGUGAUCAGAUCCAUAGAGCCCAGGUUAAUAAAAACACAAAACUUCUGCACUACCGGUUGUAUAAAAGUGUAACAUAUACAAUUAUGUACAGUAGUGCAUAAUACUUGAUGGUAAUAAUAAACGAUUAUGUUAUUGGUUUAUGUAUUUACUAUA